CCUAGUACGAGAGGACCGGGACGGACGAACCUCUGGUGUGCCAGUUGUCCUGCCAAGGGCAUGGCUGGUUGGCUACGUUCGGAAAGGAUAACCGCUGAAAGCAUCUAAGCGGGAAGCCUGCUUCGAGAUGAGUAUUCCCACCCCCUUUGAGGGGUUAAGGCUCCCAGUAGACGACUGGGUUGAUAGGCCAGAUGUGGAAGCCCGGUAACGGGUGGAGCUGACUGGUACUAAUAGGCCGAGGGCUUGUCCUCAGUUG
rnacentral:rRNA from 1 species